rnacentral:lncRNA from 1 species
UGUAAAAAGAGGAUAGUGGCUCACGUGUCAAAGGAUGGCACGGUCACGCUCUAGAUCCCCCAGGUGGAGGCACAGGUCUUUAACACCAGUGCCUAGAAGUUCUGAACACUACAAGCAAAGAUAUGAGCAUUAUGGCUACGACUAUAGGAAGGAUCCAAAAAGACACAUCACUUGGAGAAUGGACAAUGAGAAAUAUGGACAGAGUAAACCAAGGAUUUCUUCUCGUGAAAAUAUAUAUUACCGAUCUUACGAGCAUAGAUCACCUUCCCCAAACAUAAGAGGAAACUCUUCAGAAAAGUUUUAUACUUAUAAGCCUCCCCAAGUAUAUUUACCAGAAAGAGGAGAUGAUAGUAACAGAAGAGCUCAAUAUGUGCCCAGACACUCAGAAGGUAUAUUCUACAAAGAGCACCAGAGGAGUUGUUAUCCCCAGAAAGCACAAGGAAGGUAUAUUCCUGAUGACCGCAGAAAUAGAAGAAGUGAAAAAGGAGGGACACCACCUGUGAGAUCAACAACAGAUUCUUUUAGAUUCGAAGGAUAUUGGCAUGAAGAUGAACCGAGGCACCAGAGGAUACAAGAUGAAAAAUACUCUCAGUCACUUAGAAGAGGCCCUGAAGAUUUUGAGAAAAGGAGCUCUUUUCAGAAGAGGUAUCCUGAGGAUCAUGAUUUCAGAAAAUAUGGACACACAUCAAAAAGACCUCACGAUGUGGAGAGGUAUGAAAACAGAGAGCCUGUCAGGAGCCUGCAGUGGAAAUCCAGGCAUUUUUCUGCUCCUUACCAAGAGAAGAAAGAUCAGCGGAACCUUGAAACCCAGACUCAUCGAUAUGCUCCAAGGGAAUUCCCAGAGACCAGUUCAGCAGCCAAGGUAUCCUGUGAUUCUCGCCACAGAUAUCGAAAGACCUCAGAUGGCGACAAGGACUUUUAUGAUGGAAGAGCUCAGAGGUACCCUAAGGAGGAAGAUAGAAAAUUGGGUUCUCAAAAAGGCCCUGUGAAUAGAGAGUCCAGUUGUUCUCAUGCUGGAAGAGGGAGAGAGACUGAAGGUGGGCAAGUCAGAGAAUCUUCUAAGCCAUCAAAGAAAGACUGUGCUGCCUUAACCCACUUAGAUAAAAGCGAUGUUGAUUCGAGAUCCUGUAAGGACACACGGAAGGACAAAAUAAAGAAAGAAAGAGCUGGCAGUAAAGACAGCAACUCUUCCUGUAACCAACUUGAUAAUAGUGAUUCCGACUUGAAGCCUUCAUCUGUCUUUCUUAGGAAGAAGUCACUCACAGUUAAAGUAGAUGUGAAGCAAGCACAGAAUAGAUCUAGGGUUGCUUCUAGCUAUUCCACAGAGAGACAGAUGUCACAUGAUUUGGUUGCUGUUGGCAGGAAAAGUGAAAAGUUUCAUCCAGUGUUUGAACAUCUUGACUCAACUCAGAAUACUGAAAACAAACCUACAGGAGAAUUUGCUCAGCAAAUCAUAACUAUAAUCCAUCAAGUUAAAGCAAAUUAUUUUCCAUCACCUGAAAUAACUCUGCAUGAGCGUUUCUCAAAAAUUCAAGUUAAAAAAGCUGCAGAUGUAAAUGAAACUAAGUUGAGCUCGGAUCCAGAAAUUCACAGGAGAAUAGAUAUGUCUUUGGCCGAGCUUCAGAGUAAACAAACUAUGGUAUAUGACUCAAAACAGACUCUGGUCAAAAUAAUAGAUCCAAGUGACCUACGACAUGACAUUGAAAGAAGGAGAAAAGAGCGGUUACAGAAUGAAGAUGAGCACAUUUUUCACAUAGCUAGUGCUACAGAGAGGAGUGAUCAGCAUUCCAGUUUUUCAGAGUUGAAGGAUACUCAUGUUGAUGAAUUCCAAAAACCUACGUCUUUUGAAAAAUCAAAUUUUAGAAAAUUUAUUCAGAAACCUUCCUCGAAUGAUACUAUGCAGAGAAAAGAUGUCAUUACUCACAGACCAUUUGAAGUUGAGGAAAACCAUCAAAAUACAAGAGGCUUUAGAAGACCUUUUAAGACCAACUUUAGAGGUGGCAGAUUUCAUUUCCAACAUAAAUCAGACCUAGUACAGAAGAGCUUGUACAUUCAGGCUAAAUAUCAGCGUUUACGGUUCGCUGGUCCAAGGGGAUUUGUCACUAAUAAAUUCAGAGAAAGAUUACUGAGGGGAAAAAAGGAAUAUACAAACAUUGACCCAGCAAUCUAAUUGGAAAUUGUUAUAAAUGGAAACGACACUACAGGACGAUAUUUGGGAGCAUCUUUUUAUCAAGAGUUAGAAUUGGCACUAAAGCACUAAUACUGUAACUUUCUUGAUAAAAUAAUUUUAUUUUUCUGUAGUGGAAUGCUGCAACUUUUUUACACUUAACAAUUGCUUUUAAAUUACAGUAUUCAAUUUAAAAGUUGUAUUAACUACAGCUUCUUUUGCAAAAAGUCUCAAGGGGCAUUAUUUGUUGAUGCAUUUUUCUCUGAGCAUGGUUUCAUAGAGAACUGAGUUAUAUCCAGACAUUUCUAUGUUGAAAGUUUUGCUUAUGAAAUAAAACAAAGUAUGAAUUGUAUAGUGUCUGUACAUGAAAGAACUUUAAACAGUGGCCUUACAUAGCAAUUUUUAUAUCAGAUUUUUCUUUUUCUGAUGACAUUUGGCUUACAACUUGAAGUUUUCUUAAGCUUCUGAAGAUCGAGGUCUAUAUACUUCAUACAUUUCAUAUUAUGACAUAAGAAAGCGCAAAAAAGGUGCUUCAAAUUUUCCAUCAGGUAGUUAUGAGUGCACAGAAUUUUUAGUAAUUGGUUCAUUCAGUUAUUUUUCCACAACUAUUUGUUCUUUUCCAGUUUCAAAAUGCUAUUGUGAAAAAUACAUGAAGGUUUUAUAAUCUAUAUAUUCCAUCUUACUUUCCCUCAGGGUAAGCUUGUGCGUAUCAUAUUUUUAAAGGCUUUUAAAAAAUUGACAGACAAAAAUCUCAUAU